GACGUAGGGCGCGAGCGUUGUCCGGAUUUAUUGGGCGUAAAGAGCUCGUAGGCGGCUUGUCGCGUCGACUGUGAAAUCCCGCGGCUCAACUGCGGGUCUGCAGUCGAUACGGGCAGGCUAGAGUUCGGUAGGGGAGACUGGAAUUCCUGGUGUAGCGGUGAAAUGCGCAGAUAUCGGGAGGAACACCAAUGGCGAAGGCAGCUCGCUGGGACGGUACUGACGCUGAGACGCGAAAGCGUGGGGAGCAAACAGG
rnacentral:rRNA from 1 species